GGAGAUGUGGCUCAGUGGUAGAGUUUGCCUAGCAUACACAAAGGCCCUAGGUUUGAUUCCUAGUACCACAA
rnacentral:tRNA from 1 species